ACGCCUACGGGAGGCAGCAGUGGGGGAUAUUGCACAAUGGGGGAAACCCUGAUGCAGCGACGCCGCGUGAGUGAAGAAGUAUUUCGGUACGUAAAGCUCUAUCAGCAGGGAAGAAUAAUGACGGUACCUGACUAAGAAGCCCCGGCUAACUACGUGCCAGCAGCCGCGGUAAUACGUAGGGGGCAAGCGUUAUCCGGAUUUAUUGGGUUUAAAGGGUGCGCAGGCGGAUUUUUAAGUCAGCGGUCAAAUCGUGGGGCUCAACCCCAUCCAGCCGUUGAAACUGGGGAUCUAGAGUGUGCGAGAGG
rnacentral:rRNA from 1 species